rnacentral:rRNA from 1 species
UACGUAGGGGGCUAGCGUUGUCCGGAAUCAUUGGGCGUAAAGCGCGUGUAGGCGGUCCGGUAAGUCCGCUGUGAAAGCCAGGGGCUCAACCCUUGGAUGCCGGUGGAUACUGUCGGGCUUGAGUACGGAAGAGGCGAGUGGAAUUCCUGGUGUAGCGGUGAAAUGCGCAGAUAUCGGGAGGAACACCGAUGGCGAAGGCAGCACUCUGGGCCGGCACUGACGCUGAGGAGCGAAAGCGUGGGGAGCGAACAGG